rnacentral:rRNA from 1 species
AGAGUUUGAUCAUGGCUCAGAUUGAACGCUGGCGGCAUGCUUUACACAUGCAAGUCGAGCGGCAGCGCGGGGCAACCUGGCGGCGAGCGGCGAACGGGUGAGUAAUAGAUAGGAACGUGUCCGAGAGUGGGGGAUAACUAGCCGAAAGGUUAGCUAAUACCGCAUAUUCUCUGCGGAGGAAAGCGGGGGACCAGUAAUGGCCUCGCGCUCACGGAGUGGCCUAUCUCCGAUUAGCUAGUUGGUGAGGUAAAGGCUUACCAAGGCGACGAUCGGUAGCUGGUCUGAGAGGAUGAUCAGCCACACUGGGACUGAGACACGGCCCAGACUCCUACGGGAGGCAGCAGUGGGGAAUUUUGGACAAUGGGGGCAACCCUGAUCCAGCCAUGCCGCGUGCGGGAAGAAGGCCUUCGGGUUGUAAACCGCUUUUAUUCGGAAAGAAGGAGUUUGGGUUAAUACCCUGGAUGACAGACGGUACCGGAUGAAUAAGCACCGGCUAACUACGUGCCAGCCGCCGCGGUAAUAC